rnacentral:rRNA from 1 species
GAAAAUGGAACUCUACGAUGAUUCUUCCGUAGGGUGAACCUGCGGAAGGAUCAUUGUAGUGUUCCUUUUCGUACAGUUGUGAAGUUGUAUUCAUACCCAUUGAAAACUAUGUUUGUUAGCACUUGCGUUGUUUAGGUGGGUUUCCUCUGCUGCCAUCGUCCUGCUUCAUUCGAAGUAAGGAGGAUAGUAGAAAUUAGAGACCGGCGCGGUUUGUGCCAAGGACAGUUGUUGUUAGAGUGCAUUGCCCAUCUUGUUGAUGUGCUUUUUGUUAUUCUACAAGUGUGAGCGUCUGAAUGACUCUUGGCAAUGGAUAUCUUGGCUCUCGUUUCGAUGAAAAACGUAGCGAAAUGCGACACUUGGUGUGAAUUGCAAAAUCCCGUGAACCAUCGAGUCUUUGAAUGCAAGUUGCGCUCGAGGCCAUUAGGUCGAGGGCACGUCUGUUUGGGUGUCAUACCUUACGUCACGUUAACCACCCACCCACGCUAAACAUAAUGCAGGUGAUUGUGUAUGUGGAGAUUGACCUUCCGGGCUUUAAUUGUGCGGUUGGUUUAAGUGAAUGCUGCCGUAAGGUCCACCCGCGGUGAACGGUGAAUCCAGGUAACACACGAUAACUCUAACCGCGUCCAGGAGACCUAAGCAAGGCGUAACAUGGACUUUGAACCUUUUUCUUGUCUGCGUUGGUCGCAAGGUCUAAAAAUGACCUCCCAUCAGACGGGGCCCACCUCUGAUA